rnacentral:rRNA from 2 species
GAACUCUGAUGCAGCAACGCCGCGUGGAGGAUGACGCAUUUCGGUGUGUAAACUCCUUUUAAGAGGGAAGAUAAUGACGGUACCUCUUGAAUAAGCACCGGCUAACUCCGUGCCAGCAGCCGCGGUAAUAA